rnacentral:rRNA from 1 species
CCUACGGGAGGCAGCAGUGAGGAAUAUUGGUCAAUGGGCGGAAGCCUGAACCAGCCAAGUAGCGUGCAGGAUGAAGGCCCUACGGGUCGCAAACCUCUUUUACCCGGGAACAACGCGCCGUACUCGUACGGCCCUGCAUGUACCCUAUGAAUAAGGAUCGGCUAAAUCCGUGCCAGCAGCCGCGGUAAUACGGAGGGUGCGGGCGUUAUCCGGAUUUAUUGGGUUUAAAGGGUGCGCAGGCGGCACGUUAAGCCCGCUGUUAAAUGUCCGGGCUCAACCCCGGCCUGGCCGCGGGAACUGGCGUGCUUGAGUGCGCGGGAGGCAGGCGGAAUUCGUGGUGUAGCGGUGAAAUGCAUAGAUAUGGCGCAGAACCCCGAUUGCGAAGGCAGCGUGCUGUGGCGGAACUGACGCUGAUGCACGAAAGCGCGGGUAUCGAACAGGAUUAGAUACCCGAGUAGUC